GCGCCCGUAGCUCAAUGGAUAGAGCGUCUGACUUCGAAUCAGUAGGUUGGGGGUUCAAGUCCCUCCGCAGGUGC
rnacentral:tRNA from 1 species